rnacentral:rRNA from 1 species
UGGCAGGUACANCGGGAAGCCAUAUGGCGACAUAGAGCGGAACCCGAAAACCUGUCUCAGUUCGGAUUGGAGUCUGCAACCCGACUCCAUGAAGCUGGAUUCGCUAGUAAUCGCGAAUCAGCAUGUCGCGGUGAAUACGUUCCCGGGCCUUGUACACACCGCCCGUCACACCAUGAGAGUCGGGAACACCCGAAGUCCGUAGUCUAACCGCAAGGGGGGCGCGGCCGAAGGUGGGUCCGGUAAUUGGGGUGAAGUCGUAACAAGGUAUC